AUACGGAGGGCGCAAGCGUUAAUCGGAAUUACAGGGCGUAAAGCGUACGUAGGCGGUUAUUUAAGUCAGAUGUGAAAGCCCCGGGCUUAACUUGGGAACUGCAUUUGAAACUGGGUAACUAGAGUUUAGUAGAGGGGAGUGGAAUUUCAGGUGUAGCGGUGAAAUGCGUAGAGAUCUAAAGGAACACCAGUGGCGAAGGCGACUCCCUGGACUAAAACUGACGCUGAGGUACGAAAGCGUGGGUAGCAAACAGGAUUAGAAACCCGGGUAGUCC
rnacentral:rRNA from 1 species